CAGUCGCCGCGGUAAUACGAAGGGUGCAAGCGUUAAUCGGAAUUACUGGGCGUAAAGCGUGCGUAGGCGGUGAGUUAAGUCUGCUGUGAAAUCCCCGGGCUCAACCUGGGAAUGGCAGUGGAUACUGGCUCGCUAGAGUGUGUCAGAGGAUGGUGGAAUUCCCGGUGUAGCGGUGAAAUGCGUAGAGAUCGGGAGGAACAUCAGUGGCGAAGGCGGCCAUCUGGGACAACACUGACGCUGAGGCACGAAAGCAUGGGGAGCAAACAGGAUUAGAUACCCCGGUAGUCCCUGUCUCUUAUAC
rnacentral:rRNA from 1 species